AAACACUUGUUACAUGGCACCUGAUACUUUAUUACAUUUCUAGUGGCGGACGGGUGAGUAACCCGUUGGAACCUGCCCCAAAGUGAGGAAUAAGCCACCGAAAGGUGGUCUAAUACUUCAUAAUAUCCAUCUCGUAUGGAUUAAAGCUUUAUGCGCUUUGGGAGGGGCCUGCGUAACAUUAGCUUGUUGGUGAGGUAAAAGCUCACCAAGGCUUCGAUGUUUAACUGGUUUGAGAGGAUGACCAGUCACACUGGGACUGAGAUACGGCCCAGACUCCUACGGGAGGCAGCAGUAAGGAAUCUUCCACAAUGGGGCAACCCUGAUGGAGCAAUACCGCGUGCAGGAUGAAGCGUUUCGGCGUGUAAACUGCUUUAUCACCGAAGAUUAUGACUGUAGGUGAAGAAUAAGGACCGGCUAACUACGUG
rnacentral:rRNA from 1 species